ACCGACCUAGGCCUGAUACUGGGCCGGAGAGAGUAGGUCCCCGGUUUCUCUUCCGAGAUAUUGGGCCGGGCCCAUGUGGACCCACGGCCCCCGAAUUCGCGCAGUUGAGUGCGGGAGAUAGGGAAUGCGCAGUUGAUUUGCGAGAGAGCGCGGACAGCAGUAGCGGCGGCGAGCGAUUCUCCUCCUUCAAUCUUCGUUCCCAUCCUCGCCUCCUCGGCCGUCGGCUACCAUGCUCGUCCUCUCCUCUCCUCCACCCUCGACACCUCCUCCUACUCCUCCGAGGCCGGCGAACUCCCCCGUCUCCGCCAGGUUCUCGCCGGGGCUCCGUCGCGGCUCGGCGGUGCCUCCGCCGCAACGCCGGAGCGCGCCGCUCCUCUCGCUCUCGUGUCCUCCGCCCGUCUCCGCCCAGAAUGAUCUAGGGUCUCGCCGCAGCGACUCCGAGAUCGGCCUCGUCUCCCUUCUGUUCGUCCUCUCGGUGGUAAUAAUCAUCUCCCUUUUCUCACCCAUUUAUGAUGAUGCGUUAGUAUCAGGGUUUGCUCAUACUCAGCGUUGCUAUUUCGGAUUUGAGGCUGUCGAAAGCAUCGGCCAUAAUGUACAACAACAGGUUCUCUUCUAGGUUGGUUCCUUUAUAUUUUUGUUACCGAUUAAUCCACGGUAUAGCAAGCAUGGUGUUGUUGGUGCUUGCUCUGACAGUAAGAUGAGGUAAGGUAACUAAACAGUUAACAGCAAGAUGAGGAAGCAAGAGCCCCUCACGGAUUCUCGCAGUCUAGAACAGCGAAUCCUUAUCCAUCUACAUUGUGAAACAGCUUAAAACUGCUGCCCACUGUCAUAUUUUUAUGCUGUUAUGGUUAAUUAAAGUUUGCGAGUAUAUCGUGCUGGUUAGAACUCUGGCUUUGGUCCCUGCAGUAUGUUGAAGAUUACCAUCCCGAUUUAGUUAUCUACUUAUCUCAGGUUUGUUUGGCAGGUGCUGGGAUCAUUUUUCUCAUUGGCAGUCAUCUCAUUGCCAGCCCUGAGUGCUCUCAAACGGUUAGCUGUUUCAGCGGAUAAACUGUCAGAAGUAGUUUCAGAAGAAGUGCCCGGUACUUUGUUUUCACUUAAGCUGCCUAGCUUGGAAAUUAAUGAUUUGACAAGCCAACUUAACAAUCUUAGGUAAGUCUACUCUCUAUUAGCAGUGUUUAAUUUGACUAUAAAAUUUAACAUAUAAUUCGGUUUCUUUUCCCGCAUGUUGAAGGCAAAGAAUAGCAGGAAGGCACUCUGGAAAGAAGGGUAGAAAAAAUAAGCCAAGAUCAAAUGGAGGAAAUAAUCCGAUAGUAAGCUGAUUUUUCAGCUAUAUUCGAGUGAAAUGAAGUAUGUGAGAUUUUGCCACCCAAGCAAAUUUUGUCCGGUCGGAAUUGAUGGUGGAAGAAUUUUCGGCCGGCUUCGUUGGUUGACAAAGGCAACAGCCCAUCAUCUACCGGGCUACCGCUUAGCAGAAAGCCAGAAAACCAUGUCUAUUUAUUUAUCUCUCCAUCUAUUCGAUCGGUCCCAGCCUUCCACUGCUGUGGCGGGCGGUGGUGCGUGUGUCACCUGAUUCAUCGAUUCGAUUCGGUUCGGUUCGAUUCGAUUCGGUCGAGAGAUAAAUUGAAGAAUAUGGAUGAUGAUGAUGAUUUACCUGGAUGGUCCUGCCCACCCGAACGGGCGUCGCUUCUGCUUCGACUUGCUCGCCGAGCAUGGCCGGCUUGAUAUGGUUGGUGGAGAGCUGCACCCCGAACACCCUUCGGUACCCGGACGCCACGUACCCCCCCAAACUCGCCGUCGAUUCGGCUAUCAGCGCCGACACCCCUCCGUUCAGCACCUUGAAAGGCUGUUUAUGUUUAUGCAAAAGCAAUUGAUUAGCCAAACUAGAAGAAUUAAUAUAUUAAUUGUACAUCACUUUGUAGUGAGAAGAUCGAUCAUCAUUAAUUUUUUUAUUAUUAUACUUCAAUAUUGAAGAAGCAGUGUUUUGAUAUUA